rnacentral:piRNA from 1 species
UUUUAAUAUCAGUAUUUUACC